rnacentral:lncRNA from 1 species
UUAACAAUGAUUCAUUUGCAUUUUUAUUUCACCAAGAGAAGAAACAGAAGUUGUCUGGCUUUCUUCACACCAACCAAUAAUUUCGCAUUUUUAAAGUUUGGGAUGUUUUCCAUAAUGAGCUGAAUCAAAAAUCUAUUUGUUGCCUAAUGGAAGGAUAACCCUUCUUCGACAUGAUCAGGACUCAACAAUGAUUCAGAAGCAACAUCCUACCCUUAAUACUGUCAGUUUUGAGCCAUCAACAUGAAAAUCCUUGAUAGGUUGAGACGAUGUUGCUAGGAAUCAAUUAAUUGAUGUGCCUAAGAGUUCUGCAAUACUAUUUUCACUUAAGUUUUUUUGCACCAUUGAUUGAUUUUUUUUUAAUCCAUGUUUAAUUUUCC